GGAAGGAGAAAUGCCUCGAACAAAAUAUCAACAGAACUUGCUCUUAAAGUUUCAAGAGUAUCACCAUGCAGAAACAACACCAAUGAACUCGUAGAGAAGUUGGUAAGUCCAGUUGUCUAUGACCCAGACAUGUGAGACUGUGUACAGGUUGAUAUAGCUCAUGUUAAGUUACAGACAGCAGAUAAGGCAUGCCAGAUGAAACUAUGGACUGAGAAGUUAUGACAAAAUUCUAGUUCCUGAC
rnacentral:lncRNA from 1 species